CUGGGCUUCACAGCAUAUGGAGGCAAAAGAAGCAGCCAAGAGACCAGCAGGGAAAGAGCCCUGCACUUGGAGUCAGAAGACC
rnacentral:miRNA from 1 species